UACGUAGGGGGCUAGCGUUGUCCGGAUUUAUUGGGCGUAAAGAGCGUGUAGGCGGCCUGGUAGGUCUGCUGUGAAAACUCGAGGCUCAACCUCGAGAUGUCGGCGGAAACCAUCUGGCUAGAGUCCGGAAGAGGAGAGUGGAAUUCCUGGUGUAGCGGUGAAAUGCGCAGAUAUCAGGAAGAACACCUAUGGCGAAGGCGACUCUUUGGUCUGUAACUGACGCUGAGGCGCGAAAGCGUGGGGAGCAAACAGG
rnacentral:rRNA from 1 species